AGGAGGGAGAGAGAGAGGAGAGAGAGGGAGGGAGGGAGAGGAGAGAGAGGAGAGAGAGAGAGAGAGAGAGAGAGAGAGGAGAGAGAGAGAGAGAGAGAGAGAGAGAGAGGGAGAGAAGAGAGAGAGAGAGGAGAGAGAGAGAGAGAGAGAGAGAGAGAGAGAGAGAGAGAGAGAGAGAGAGAGAGAGAGAGAGAGCGCAGAGAGCGAAACGGGGAGAGAGAGAGCAGAGAGAGCCGAGAGGGAGAGAGAGGGGACACAGAGACAGAGGGAAGAGUGAGAGAUAGGGAGAAGGGCACACGGACAGAGAGGAAGUCAGAGAUGGGAGAGACCAAAUAGAAAGAGACAGAAAGAGAGAGUGAAAAGGGAGAUAGAGACUGGGGAAGAAGAAAAGGGAGACAGAGGGGGAGACGGGGGUAGGGGGGGGGACUAAGGGGAAAGAGAGGGACAGAACGGAGCUAGACAGCGAGAGGAACGGGAGACGGUUCGGGUGAGCGCCAGAGCAGAGAGCCGGGAGAAGCGCGAGAGAGCAGGAGCGGAGACUCGCCGCCCGUGUGCCCGGGUGCCCGUGUGCCGUGUGCCCGUGGCGGUGGUGCGGGUCGCUGCUCCCCGAGGUGCGGAGGAGGAGCCCGAGCCGGAGCCCGAGCCCGAGCCCGAGCCCGAGCCGGGGGAGGCGGCGGCGGCGGCGGCGGCGGCGGCGGCGGGCUGCUCGCCCAGUUGCCCCCGCCUGCUCUCUCUCGGCUCUGCGCGAGGCCGCUCGCUGCCCAGAGCUCCGGAGCUCCGCUCCUGCCCGCAGUGGCGGCCCCGGUGCCAGAGGCGGCGGCGGCGGCGGCGACCCCGGUGCCAGCGGCGGAGGCGGCCCGGGUGUCAGCGGCGGCGGCGGCGGCCCCGGUGCCAGCGGCGGCGUUGGCGGUGGUGGAGCGUGGCACCACCGCGCCGACCCCCCGGCCCCCCGGCUUCGGAAACUUCCCCCCGGCUGCGGCGGCGGCGGCGGCGGCGGCGGAGCGCGGCUCUGCACUAAUGCACUAAGGUCUCAGCACCAGGUCAAGUUAAGAUUGCUGCCCUCAGCCUCCCACCCCAGUUGCUACGUUGGAGGCGACUAGAGGAUCUUACUUCAUCGGGGUGGCCUUUCUGAGAGAAGCCAUGCAGCCCACCGAAUGCCUAGCAGAGUUCUGAGAGCCCAGCCACUGGCCACCUCUCCCCUCGGAUUGUGUCCUCGAUUUGCCAGCGGUUUUGGAUACCCAGGCAGCCGGCUGGGCCCCCCAGCUUCCCCAUUCACCUCGAAAAACAAUACCCCCAGCACAUAGGCUAGGGGGAAGAAGGAAACCCUGCCCCUUGGCCACCUCACAUCCUCCUGCCUCUGGGUGUUUUGUGUCUCUCCCUCCCUUCAAUUCCAACUGUAGCACAUCUGGAAGGACAAUCCCCCCACCACCACCUCAACUCCUAACCUCCCAGAGAUCCAGAACACCCCUCCAAAUUCUCAGGACAUCUUCCCCUUUCGAGAGGCCCAGAUUGGCCUUGGACUCAGUUUCCUCUGAGUUUUACUCUUCUUCUGUACUCUGGAAGAGAACCUGACCAAACAGCUGAAGAGACCUCAGCCCCCUGAAAACACUGAAUUGUCCAAUUAAAUUUAUUGAAGACCCUGUGGUUAGAGAGUCACAUUCCCUCCCCUUAAGAGAAGACAGUCUCUCCUCUUCCCUCUGCACAGUACCCCGGCGGGAUCAGGGGCUGCUGGGCCCACUCUCUUGACCUGGAGAAUUAGCCUUCCUCCCUGCCCCACCCCCCAAUUGAUUCUUUGCCUUACAGAGAACUUUGAGUCAGGAAAGGGACUGGAAAGAAGGUUCUUGGAUAGUUCCCCACCCCAGGAUCUCAGUGAAGGAGUCCCUGUAAGCUGGUAUCUCCCUCAUACCACUGGAGAAUUGACCUGGUGAUUCAGGGUGGCAACCUUUUCCCUCCAAUUGUUGGAGCAGGAAGAGUCAGGCUGCUGUGACCACCUGGAAUAGAGGUGGGAGAUUAAGGACCUAGGAGGUGUCAGAAGUGAAGAUUGGGAUUGGAGCUUGGAGGGAGUGGUGCUUUUUAAAUAUUCCUGGGGCUACCAAAUUC
rnacentral:lncRNA from 1 species